CUCUCCAAUCGCCUGGCGAGUCCGCCCGCAGCCUCGCGCCCUCAGCCCGCGGCGCGCGCCGGCCGGCGACCGUUAUUGCUGGGGGCGGGGCGCGCCGCGGAGGCUUGGGGCCGCGGCUCCGGGAGCCCGGUUCUGAGGGAGAGCUGGCCCAUCCCCCGCCGCCGUGGGGCGCCCGGGAGUGGGGCGGGGGGAGCAAGUCGAGCCCUCGAGGCUUCGGGCCUGAAGGCGUCCGCCGCCGCCCACCUCCGCCUCGGCAGCUGCUGCCCACCUGUCCGGUCCCCGGCCGCCCACGCAGGUGGGAAGGGGAGCCGACCCCCUCGGUCCUCCAGGACCUCAGUUCAAGGUCAAAACUGGGCCCCAGCUCAGCUGUGCUCGACUGCCCGCCUGAGGCAGGGAGGCCGGACCCGGGCAGAGCGGGCCGGCAGCGCAGUUACCACAUAAUAAGGGAGAACAAGUGGUAUCUUUCUAAACACUCAACAUGAUGUCCUCCAGUUAUGUCCGUUUUGCUGCAAAUGGUUCUGCUUGUAGCCACAGAAUUCCCUCUGAGAAUUGCUUUUGCUGCAUCCUGUAAGUUGUGGUGACUGACAAUGUAUCCUUCCUCCUGGCAUGAUGAAGAAAUGGAGAGAUGGAGAGAUACACUGUGUUCCAGCUUGGGAAGAUUCAGCUGAUAUAUCUUCAAGAACUGGGAUGGAAUGAAACGUGGUGUUACCAGUACAAUUCUGAAGAUAAAGCACAAUGAAAGCAAUGACCAGCAAGAAGUAAAAGUGGUUUAGGGAAAGCAAAGUCAGACUGGUCAAAGCAGGUGACUCAUAUAUAGCUGCAAGCAGAAGUACAAUAAAAAUGGCUUCCGGGGCCAACAUUGUGGCAUAAGAGGUAAAGACGCCAUCUUUGACACUGGCAACCCAUGUGGGUGCUGGUUUGAGUCUUGGCUGCUUCACUCCAAUCCAGCUCUCUGCUAAUACUGGGAAAGCAGUGGAAGAUGACCCAAGUGUUUGGGUCCCUGACACCCACGUGGGAAACAUGGAUGAAGCUCCUGGCUCCAGGGGAGUAGAUCAGCAGGUGGAAGAGCUCUCUCUCUCUUACUCUCUCUUUCUGUAACUCUGACUUUUAAGUAAACAAAUAUCUUUAGAAAAAAAUGGCUUCUUAAAAGAAGGACUAGUAAACAAAGUAUUUCCAACAUUUCAUAAGUUGUCCAAAGAAAGUGUAACUUCCCACAGUAAAUGAAAAUGACAAAGACACACUUAUUAAAAAUGAGUUUUAAAACUCUGG